GAGUUUGAUCCUGGUUCAGAACGAACGUCGGCGGCGUGGAUUAGGCAUGCAAGUCGAACGAAUCCCAGGGGGGUAGCUCUCUGGGGGAAGUGGCGAAAGGGGCAGUAAGGCAUGGAUAACCUACCUCGGGGAUCGGGAUAGCCUUCCUAACGGAAGGGUAAUACCGGGCGAGCUAGCGAAGGGGCAUCUCUUUGCUAGGAAAUGAAUUUCGCCUUGAGAGGGGUUCAUGUAGUAUUAGCUUGUUGGCGGGGUAACGGCCCACCAAGGCCAAGAUGCUUAGCGGGUGUGAGAGCACGACCCGCGCCACUGGCACUGAGACACUGGCCAGACUCCUACGGGAGGCUGCAGUCGAGGAUCUUCGGCAAUGGGCGCAAGCCUGACCGAGCGACGCCGCGUGCGCGAUGAAGGCCUUCGGGUUGUAAAGCACUGUCGAGGGGGAGAAAAGCCCGCAAGGGUCUGAUCUAUCCCUGGAGGAAGCACGGGCUAAGUUCGUGCCAGCAGCCGUGGUAAGACGAACCGUGCGAACGUUGUUCGGAUUCACUGGGCUUAAGGGCGCGUAGGCGGACGAUCA
rnacentral:rRNA from 1 species